CGGAGAUUGGUUCCGCCCGGACCAUAAUUCUCAAACACCGGGAACUCCGGGAAGGGAAAUCAGGGUUUUAUUGAUCGCAGGUGGAUAGAUGAACGGGGCGAUCGUGGAUUGGGCAGUAUGAAGAGAAGGAGGAGUAUAAAGAGGGCCUCAGAAACUGCAGAAGAGAAGGAGGGGAGUUCUUUGUUUUAUGUGAGCCGAUACGGCGACCCGGACCCUGCGUGAGUUGGAGGGUUCGGGGGAGUACAGUGGAAAGAAGGCAGAGGAUAUUGUUGGCUGGGCAAAGACGGAGACAAGGGUUUGGCAGAAACAGAAACCGGGCUGAGUAUAUUGGGAUGUAUUCUUAACUGUGAAAUGCUCCAUGGAUAUGUGUAACAAAUUCGGAGUGGUUGAAAACAGGAAGACUCACCGGAAGUAUCGCCGAAGGAGGCCUUUUCGACAGGGCACGUGGCAGCAGGAGAAGUAUCCAGGAGCUGGAAAGAAGAGGGAAAAGAGACCUCGUGUUAGUAACGGUGUGAGUACCCUAAACCAUCGUACAGCAGUAUAAUCAUCUAGAGUGAACCAUCUGUGAGCGUUUUGUGAGUUGUGGCAUAGUAUGUGAGCGGCCCCACUGGGGAGGAGGAUUGUGGGUGAGCCGGGACCAGUGAGCGAGAGGAUGUUAGGUUGUUGUGGCGGCAACGUAUAAAUCUGAAUAUUCGUGGCAUCAGUGUCUUCACGACUUCCAGGACGAGUCUUUGGUCAGACGGGGUUUUGACCCUAAAUUCACCAGGAGUGUGUGGAGUGCAGUGGGUGAGUCUUUGUCCUUUGCUGUGAGUGUAUACACUUGGAAAUUGCAGUGUUGUGCGGUGUUGUGUCGUCAACAACCACUUUUCAGGCCCGACGAAAUCCUGUGAAGGAAGCGAGUACCGAGGCGGGCGAAGAAAACAUCUCCAAUUAUAUGCCGUCAAAUGACCUCCUGACCCUUCUUCCCCACGUGACGGUGGUGGGAAACAAUUUCAAGUAAGAACAGUGUGGAUCUAUUGGGAAGUAUUAAUGGUGAGGAGUUGGCUGCUGUGGGAGGAAAUCAGCUGUGCGUGUAUUAUUACCUGCUGAGGAGUUCUUCAAAGGUCAGCAGUUGGUAGAAGCCUCAGAAAAGGAACGUCUGACGUCUAUUCCCUCGAAGAUCUAGCGGGUCCCUUUGAAGCGUCUACCUGCAUGUCGACUUGUCACUCAGGAUACAGAGACCGUGGAAACCCCCUCCCGUACACUUACCAGUACGGUUUUAGUUGGAUCCCGGCAGCCCUUGGGCAGUUCCCCCAGCAUCUGGACGACCGGGAGUAUAAUCCGCUGGGUCGCCUCGGAGUUCGUCAAAAGUAGCAGCAGGUAUCCAUUGUGCAUCCAAACUUUCAAUACUUACCACUUGUAUCUGUUACGUCCAGGGAAGGAGAGGGCCCUGGACAGUCGUCCUGCAAGCCAGAACAAAGGGGCACUUGUGAAUAAGCUGAUUGUCGUCACAUAGCCAGAAGGAAAGAGGAGUGAAGGACUCACCUGAGAUCUCCCGUGACGGAGUCUAAGAGACUCGAGACUGUUACUCUCCAAAAGGAGGGUUGGAUUUUAGCCUCCCUUCCCCAUACCCUUUUUUUUAGUAAUUUAAUAAAGUCUGUUUUAAUAUUUA